rnacentral:rRNA from 1 species
GAUUAUGGCUCAGGAUGAACGCUAGCGGCAGGCUUAACACAUGCAAGGUCGAGGGGCAGCGGGAUGUAGCAAUACAUUGCCGGCGACCGGCGGAUGGGUGCGUAACGCGUAUGCAACCUACCUUAUACAGGGGAAUAACCUUUCGAAAGGGAGACUAACACCCCAUAGUAUUGAUUUAAGGCAUCUUAGAUUAAUUAAAUAUUUAUAGGUAUAAGAUGGGCAUGCGUAUGAUUAGCUAGUUGGUAAGGUAACGGCUUACCAAGGCGACGAUCAUUAGGGGUUCUGAGAGGAAGGUCCCCCACACUGGUACUGAGACACGGACCAGACUCCUACGGGAGGCAGCAGUGAGGAAUAUUGGUCAAUGGGCGCAAGCCUGAACCAGCCAUGCCGCGUGCAGGAAAGACGACCUUAUGGGUUGUAAACUGCUUUUACAUAAGACUAACCGUAUAUUUGCGAAUAUACCUGAAUGUAUUAUGAGAAUAAGGAUCGGCUAACUCCGUGCCAGCCGCAGC